UUGCUGAAAACUCAUGGUGCUCUAUAUCUGUCAGACUUAAACAUGUGUCUUGAAAUUAUCUAAGAAUAUAAUCCUUGGUUUCCCUCAGGUGAGAAUUUAAUGGAUAUGGAAAAUUGGGAUCGGGUUUGGAUGAACGUUGAGAAGGCUGUGAAGCAAGGUGAAAAAAUACCGGUGUGCUUUUGGUCUGUAUGGUCCCUUGUUCACGUAGUUUUGAAAGCUGUGCAGACUGAGCCAGCAAAAGACUUAGCAUCUGAGGUUUGUGCUCUGGUGAAAAAGUUACAGGUUAGUGAAGAGAUGCAAACUGAGAUUGAAAAAGAUAAUUUCCAGUUAGUUGAAAAGCCAGUUAAGGUUACUCAGAAGGAUAAUGAAGUUACUAAGGAGAGGACAAAUGAGUUAAAAAAGCAGCUGGAAGAAUUGUUAACUAUCGCCAAGGAUAAAGUGAAAGUAAAACUGUCAGCUCCUCCCCUGCGGAGGCAAUCGUUUAAGGCAGCUGCAGUCAGGGGAUAUGCAGAAUCAUUGGAUUCCUGAUCAAGAUUAGACUCUCAAAGAGAGACAGAGACAGACAGACAGAGAGAGAGCAUGUUGCUCAAUUACUGCCUUUACCUUAUUUGCCUAUUGGUCAAUCUUCUGCUAUAAGGACAGGAGGUGCGGUAAGUAUAUCCCGGGAGCAUCAGCAGUCAGUGGUGUAAAUAUAAGAGGUUAGCUGCGCAGCAUGAAAAACAAGUAAAAAGUAACUCAAGUAUAAUUGUAAAAUAAAAAGUAACUUAAGAAGUAACUUGUAGAGGAGUGCUAAAAAUGUAAAUAUGGGCCAAGAAAACAACACACAGUUGUUUGGACAUUUACUUAUAGAUACUUUAAAGGUUAGGGGUACUAAGGAAGGACAACAGCAGCUGCUUUAGUUUUUGAAAUGAAUAAAGGAUGUGUGCCCCUGGUUCCCUGCAGAAAGAAGUAGGAAUCUAGAGAUUUAAAAAGGUAUUUGUGGAUGUAUGAGCAUGCUUGGUCUGUGUUUUAACUGUGACUAUGUUGCUGCUUUAUGUGUUUGUCUUUGAAAAUUUUAAGUGGUACCGGUACCUGUCUGUCUGUCAUUACUGUCCACUGUUGUCUAUUGAUCUUUGUUAUCCUGGAAGGGAGGAGGCAGGCUGCCUCGACCUCUAGACUCCCGUUCAUUUUUAUUGGAUCAGUUCCAGGUCCCAAAGGAGAAACUUCUCUAAGGAGAGGCAUGACACUCCCUUCAUUGAUCUCUGGCCCACAGCCAGCCAGCAGCUCCUGCAGAGGGCAAGGGGUGCUGGCGCAUGCUAAGGUGGGCAGAGACACUAUAGGGAGACAUGUCUGAGGGAGACAUGUGUGGGGCGGCCGAGAAUUGACUGCUUGCAGUUGAAAAACUGCACGGAUGUGUAACAGAGAAUCUUUGAUGGUUGCCAGAGGAGUUAACAAAAAUUUUUUUUUCAGGAAUGCUGGCAGUCAAGGACACUGUGCCCAAGAGCGUUUCUCUCCCUCUUUUUCUUUCUUAAGUCAAGUUCUUCUUCACUGAGAUAACACUCUUCUGCUGGCCAGCAGUUUCUCAUUUUAACCCUUCUGUCUGAUACAGCUUUAAAAAAAAUAUUGAGUUAUACCAACCUGUAUCUUUUGGAAAGCGUUGACUUAAAGUAAUAGUUAAAGAUGCAUUAUGUUUGGGGAAAAUUAAGCUUUUGUUUUCACAGGAAAAGAAAAAAAAGGAGUUUUAAUCACUUAGAUCCAAUGGGUUACAAAUAUUUAUCAUCUUUAAAGGAAAUUGGGUAUAAAUUAUUAUUGAUUAAGAAAAAGAAAACUGCUGCUAGUUUCUUAAGUUUCACAUGGGUACAGGUUUUUUAUAUGCAAAUUUAUUCUUAUUGUGAUACAUGUGUAUUAUAUAUUUUGGCUAUUGUUUGAAAUGUAUCUAUGCAAUGUUCUGGAAUGCUGGAUAAACUCACAAGAAGAGACAUUCAUGGAGAUUUACAUGUUGUCUAAAGGACAAGAGGACAAACAAGAGACUAAAAACUACACAUAUAUGUAUAUGUAUGUAUAUAUGUGUGUGUGUAUAUAUAUGUGUGUGUGUGUAUAUGUAACUCGUUUAUGGACAAUAAUGUGUUUGAAGAAAAACUAUAAACAUUCUAAAUAUUUAAUUAUGUUGUGCUAAUUCUGAUUAAUUUCUCCAUUAAUAAGGCUGGUGAUUCUUCAUUGAAGAACAAUUAUGUUAAUUAUGCGAUCAUGUUCUUUAAAGGUAAAAGGAAGGCUGAGGUCCUAAAUACACGUUAAUAAUUAAUCAUCAUAGUACAAGCAACUCUCUGAGUUACAGGGUUCUAUAUGAUUGGCCUCCUAUAAAAUAACAAAGCUAGGGGGCUGGAGAAAUGGCUCAGAGGUUAAGAUCAUUGCCUGCUCUUCCAAAGGUCCUAAGUUCAAUUCCCAGCAACCUUUCAAAAAAAAAAAAAAAAGAAACAAAAAUAAAAUAACAAAGCUAAAGGUCUUAGCUAUUCACACAUAGAAAACUUCAAACAUGUUCUUAAAAACUUCAACAUCACAUCUAUGGUCGGUAAAUGAAAACUGCAGUCUAACAGCUCCUACGAUGGCUAGUCAUUGGACAAAAUGCUUGUUAUGAGUCUAUAUUAAUUCUGAGGGUCAAAAAUAAAAAACUGGGAACAUCAAUACAGGUUGUAAGGAUUUGAAGGCAUAAACGUUUGGAGAUUAUAUGGGUGGGUCUAAGAAGAUAUUCUAAAAAUAUAGAUAAAAUUUUAAGAAAUAAUGGCUUUAGAUGUAUAUAAAAAUUUCCAAGAUUUCUUUCCCCUUUCAUAAUAUUAUUAUACUAGGAUUUCAAAAGUUCAAAGUUUAACAUUAACAGAGUCUAACAAGUUAAUAGAGCAAAGCAUUGCUUACUAUUUGGGUCACAAACUCAAAAUUUUAAAUUGUUUCUUUUGGUUAUCUUCUGAAUAUAGGCUUAUAUGCUGUUUAAUCCAAAUCAUAGUUUUUAUUAGGACUCAAGGAUACGAGUCUACUUCUAUUGUUUUACAGAUACCUAAUUCUACAAUAUGGAUUUCAACACAGACUAAUAAUGCUAAUAUAUCUGAAACUUUUAUGGCCUUUUAUAAAAUGGAGAUUCAUACAAACUUCAAAAAAUUUAACAAAUUAUAUCUUAAAUCCACUCCUCACAAGUCAAAAUGAUUACAGUAUUUUUCUCUCUCCUGGUCUUGGGACUUUUCCCCUUAAUUACUGAGAAUAUGAGUAAACAACUUUCAAAUGAGUCCAUAAAUUUAAUUUCUGUUCCCAGAUUAUAUCUGUUUUAGCAGGUUCCCACGUGGCUGACAAACACAUCCCAGCAUCAGCUGCUGAUAACAACCUGCUCCAAAUGACUGAGUCCUGAACUUGCUGAAUCCUGAUGUGGACCCAUCCAGCCAAUGUGACUGCUGUCUUUUCAGUUUGUCAAAGAAUCAGAUCCUCUCAAGUUCCUUCAUUGUUUUUGACUAACAUUCUAGCCUUUCAGGCCCCUGAGAACAACAUCCUAAGGUCAGCAGGAAGUAAUUACAGAAAUGAAGACACUGUCUCUGUUCCCUCCUGGAAUGUAAAAAAGAAAAUUUCUCUGUCAAUCAUCACGGGGAUUUUGGUCAUUAAUGCCUUCAAUAAAUAAUAAUUCCUAUCUGGGUGCUAUUAAACUAAUAUUACUAAAAUCUCAAUAUCAGCCUCUGAAAUAAAUUCAUCUCAAGGUUUGAGAUGAUGGACUGAACAGGGGCAAGGAAUUUUUUUUUAAAGAACAGCAUUUUGUCAUUAAUGACCUUACAGCUGAACAACCCAUUUCACAAGCUCGAACUAUCUUUACUGAUGGCUCUAGAACUCGUGCUGCUUACUGGACUGAAAUCAAAAUUUUGGUCACGAUUAUCUCCUUAUUCCCCAGCGCAACAGAACGGGUUAUGGACAGUCAUUCAGGCAUUGCAGGAUUUUCCUACUGAGGGCCUUCAUAUAGUGGCUGAUUCCAAAUAUGCAGUUGUAAAGAUCAUUUACACUGCUUUAAUUCAUGUUAAUAACUCUAUUUUACAAGAUUUAUUCUUAACAUUACAAAACCUGUUGCAAAAACAAAAUCAUGUAGUAUUUAUUGUGCAUAUGAGAUCACAUACCAAAUUACCUGGACAUCUAAUCAGGGGAAUAAUGUAGCUGAUGCUCUUGUAAACUGUGCUUCAGUUAAGGAUGAGCUUAAUCCAGUGCACCUCAUUUGCAUGUUCAAUACAAAAUUCCUUACAGACAAGCUAACUGGAUUAUUCUUAAUUGUCCUAUCUGUCAUUCCCUGCAUUUAAGACAAAAUAACCCUGGUACCAAUCCUCGGGUGUUGGAUUCAAAUCAUGACAGAUGGACGUAACUCAUAUACCACAAUUUGGCCGGUUAUCUUAUGUUCAGGUGACCAUAGAUACAUUCUCCUCCAUGAUAUGGACUAUGCCAUUAUCUGGGGAGACAACUAACUAUGUUAUCACCCAUUUAUUUGAAGCUUUUGCAGUAUUGGGGAUGCCAGCCAUAAUAAAGACAGAGAAUGGACCUGCAUACUCCUCUACAAAAUUUCAGCAAUUUUGUGAACAAUACACAAAAUAUAUUGUGUAUAUUAAACAUGUGACUGGAAUAGAAUAAAACCCCCAAGGUCAAGCCAUUGUAGAAAAAUCCCACACUACCUUAAAGCAACAAAUUAGAAAACUUAAAAGAAAAUGCAGGACUUGGGUAUGAAAGACAUCUGGGCUUUACAGAAUAAUCCUAGUGCUAUGAUGCAUCAUGCUUUAUUUUAUUAAAUUAUUUUUUAAUUUUCCACAGGGAGACAUUCUAACUAGAGCUGAGCAUUUUAUGUCUGAAAAGUUUCAGGCUUUGGAGCCGGCUCCUUUUAGGAAAAUUUGGGUGAAAACUACUGUUGACACUGAAGGGUUCCAGGGCAGUCUAUGGUAGACGGAAGGGGGUAAUGGUCUUGUGUCUUCUCAGGAUGGGCACCAGCACUGGAUUCCAGGCCGCUGGAUCAAGGCCCGAAGGACCGAUUAAAUCGGCUGUGAAGAGAAGAAAGGCACUGAGGGGGAACAAGGGCAAUCUUGAGGUGCCAGUGGCAGGAAUGGCCCAGUCAUCACUGGCCAGGAAGCAUCCUCGUAGGCAGACAUAUUAAAGCUCCUGUGCCUACCUGGGGGCAAAUUAAGUCUCUCACUGCUAAGGGUCAAGCUGUUCUGCAGAGGUGUGACAAACCUGUUACAGCCGAGAAUCUUUUCCUGACCAUGUGUGCUUUACUGUGGGUAACUUCUGCAGAAUCCAUAAGUUAUUCAUACUGGGCACACACAUUCCAAAUUCCCCUUUACUGGAGCCUGUGAUGUGGGCAGCAUCCUCUCUCUUAGUGUACAUCACCCCACACGUGUUAUCUCCUCCUUGGGAUAACUGAACAGCAAACAGUUUUGCAGGUGGGUCGAAAUUUAAUUUUACAUAUUCUGGCUUGGGACAACCUAUAUGCUUAGGGCCUCCUCCUUGCUUAUCUAUGGCUUAUCAACAUUGGCUUUUGCCUGGCAUUAAUGUUACCAGAUCACAAAUGCGGUUACAGAAGUUGUCUGCCUACUCUUUUAACCAGACAUGGCAGAAUGUUACCUAUGAAUCAUAUAUUAAUUUCCCAGUAUGCACAGAUUUCAUCUACAUUUCUUUGUAAUAUAAACCCUUUAUUUGGAAUGAUUGUUUAGGUAAAUUUCGAAAAAAUAUUAAUAACACUUGGAUAAACUGGGGCCCAUAUGGGAUGUUUAUUAAUACAUGUUCUGAAUGGAAAAGUACUGUCUGUGAUCUGUUUAAUGUCACUAGAAUGGCUCAAGCUACGAAGAACGAGACAUUUAACAGUCCUCGGCUUAUGGCCUGGGGAAAUGGAGGGGUAAGUGGACCAUGGACUCUACAGUUUCCCAAUGCCAUUCAGAUGCAUAUUUGGAAGCUGGCUGCUGCCUUAAAGACUGUACUUCUAUAACGUAUCAUUUUCCGAAACUGUUCCCAGUGAUUCUGUGUAUAAUUUCACUAUGCAUAAAAGCUGAACUGUUA